rnacentral:lncRNA from 1 species
GGGACGUGCGGAAGGGAAAGGAUGGGGGCUACGGGCCGCCGCACGGUCCAAGCCGCGCCGUCAGGCUGUCAAACUCGGUAGAGCGCUCUCGUCCCGGAGGCCGCGGAGGCGGCCCAGAGCCAGCUUUAGGUGUGGCUUGUACAGUGUGCGGAGCGAGAACUCAGAAAAUGGGGAAAUGGAGGAGCGGGGGUGGAAACGAUUGGGCCGGAAAGCGCGUGGGGAGAAGGGGAAGCGCCCUGGACUGGGGGCUGCUGGGGUCCGCUGCGCCCCCGGACCCCGCUCUGAGCAUCCCAGAGAUUCCCUCCGGACGAUAGGUCCUAAGUGCUUUGAAGGUAGACACAGGCUUUAUUUCUUUGACUUUCCUAUAGUAUUGGGGGCGACUUCCGCAGGGCUGGGAAGUAGGUGCUCAGUGUUUGUUCUUAAACUGGUAAGUGCUUGCUAAAUCCUUGUAAGAUUAAUGACAGCUGUAAUGACAGCCAAGGGAUCUAUCAGAAUCUCCCAGUGUGCAAGCCACCUUCUCGCCAUUUACCAUUCUUGCUUCCAGAAACUCACUCCGGCUAAACUUUUGGAAGUAAGGGUGGGGGAUGCAUUUAAAAGUUGGAACUUUUGUUACUGUAUCUUGUACCUCUGUAUCCAAAAUGGGGCUGUGAAUUUAGUUCACCCUCUCUGAGCCUCCCAUCUCCUGCUGUCUUCGUUUUGGGAUUUGUUUCCACAAGGGAGGAAAGUGAGUGAGGCCUUCAAUCAGUGACCAAUUCUUUUUGCAUGGGCUGAAAGAAAGGAUGAUUGUCUUUGAAUAACACCGUGACAGCAAGCGGGCCUGUGCUUGGGAUAUCUUUGUUAUGAGCCGAGUUAAAAGAAUAGGGCUUUUAAAAAAAGAAAAUUUGCUUAACAGAUGCGGAACUGGCUUGAAGUUUCACCAGAGUUGACUUUAUGCCUCAUAUCUAUGGACAAGAAUCAUUUGCAUCGCCUCUGCAGCCUGUAAAGUCAUCAAUAACUUAAAGAAAGGAGAAGACCCCAAGGAACCAGAUAACCCAGAAGGGUGUGCCAGACAAUGUCUAGUGUUCAUUGAAGACGCCUAAUAAUCUUUUUGGCCCAUUUCAGAGUCUGUCGCAAAAAAGUGGAGGGUAGAGGGAUCCCCACCCCAUAAUUCUUCUGAUAGUCCCCAACUUGUUUCUAUUGCCUAUGCUUUUAAUCCUGGCGUAUCUUGUGUAUCAUAACUUUGACAGUGCACCGCUUUCCUAAAGGAAAUGGCGCGAUAAAAUAAUCCAUCAAAAUAUUUAACAGUAUUUAGCAGCAGUUGGCAAAAACAACUGUUAUCAAGGGUUUUGUUUUGUUUUGUUUUGUUUUUUAAUCUCGACAGAAUUGGCAUGUUUUUUCAAAAGGUCUUCUGCGAGUCAUUUCCCCUCUCCAAGCCUCAGGGUUGUUUUUGUUUAUCUCUAAAAUAGGAGAUUAGAUUUGAUUUCUAAGGUUUCUUCCUGUUUUAAGACUGUGGUUCAACACAGAGUGUUUGCCUCUCCCUGAUUUCACUGAGGCCCUGGGAGCAGAAAACCUAAUAUUUCCCAUUCCCCUUGUAGUGAGAGGAAACUUCCCACCUCCCGGGUCAGUUCUGUUUACCCUUCAGGAGCUAGGUUCCAGCUCACCACCUAUCCCAGGAAGCAGCCCUUUUAAAGUAAAGGCUCUAUUCAAACAUAUGGAAAGAUGCUCAGCCUCAUUUGCAGUCCAAAGAAUGAAUGCAAAUCUGAAGUACAAGGAGAUGCCACUUUUCACUUAGUAGGUUUGCAAAGAUAAAGGUUCGGGAAUGCUCUGUUGGCAAACAGCCCCGACUGAUGCAAUUGUAAAUUGUUCAUCUCUUUGCAGAGCAAGAUAGCAAUAUGAGCCACAAACACUUGACCCAGCAAUUCCCCUCAGGAGUUUCUCCUACAGGUAGCCUUACCCCCGUGCACAAAGCUGUGUGCCCUGGAGUUCACACGGUAGCACGCUGUAGAAGCAAAAGACUGGCGGUGCCCUGUAAGCCUGUGAAUAUAUUAGGUAAAAUACAUUGCAAAAAAAAAAAAAAAUACGUUGCGCACACAAAAGGGAACAGCGUGCUUUAUAAUUGUAAAAAGGAAAUGAGGCGUGUUUUCACGAAUUCAGAUAUCUGGUCUUCAAGCUAUAUCAGGUCUAUUGUGUAAAACUGCGUGUUCUUGUGUAAGAAAGCAGAGUGGGGAGAUACAUAUGUUUAUAUAUACUUAGGCUAUCCCUGGACAGAUACACAAGAAAUGGGCAUGUAACGUAUUGAUUUUUUUUUUAAGUUUAUUUAUUUAUUUGGAGAGAGAGAGAGAGAGAGAGAGAGAGCGAGCAGGGGAGGGGCAGAGAGAGGGAGAGAGAGGAUCCCAAGCAAGCUCCACGCUGUCAGCGCAGAGCCCUACUCGGGGCUCGAACUCACGCAGGGUGGGAUCGUGACCUGAGCCGGAAUCAAGAGUCGGACACUUAACCUACUGAAGCACCCAGGCACCCCUGUGACUUGUUAACUUUCUGGCCGUGUGUUUAUUUUUAGAGACACAAAAAUAUAAUUGAACGAGUCAACACGCUCCAGCAGGUGGGGAGGCACCUCACAGAAGAGACUGUCCAAAACGUGAAAAAGUGCUUGUUUUCACUAGACGUCCGGGAAACGCAGACUGAAACCACAGGGAAAUGUUUACACACCCACCAACAUGGCUGUAAUGAAAAAACACCGAGCCCUGGCGAGCACCUGGAAUAACUCGGAGCCUCUAUCCGCUGCUGGGGGGGGGGGAAGGAACAGGUAAUCGUUAAACUCCCUCCUACGGCACUUGGGAGUCUCUGCCGAAGCCGCACGUGCACGGACCUGUGUUCACCGGAAGACACCUGCUGGACGGUUCACAACCUAAAUGUCCGUGACCGACAGAAUGGAUAAAUGGUGCGUACCCAUACAGUGAACUACCGUACAAAACAGAGACCAGUCGCACAAACACGUGUUGGGUUAAAGAAGCAAGACCUGAGACGGUACGUGCUGCGUGGUUCCAUCAAUAAAAGGUUCGGACUCCCGGCAAAACUGGUCUUUGGUAUGGGCACACGUGGGG